UGGGGAAUAUUGCACAAUGGGCGCAAGCCUGAUGCAGCCAUGCCGCGUGUGUGAAGAAGGCCUUCGGGUUGUAAAGCACUUUCAGCGAGGAGGAAGGGUAGUGUGUUAAUAGCACAUUGCAUUGACGUUACUCGCAGAAGAAGCACCGGCUAACUCCGUGCCAGCAGCCGCGGUAAUACGGAGGGUGCAAGCGUUAAUCGGAAUUACUGGGCGUAAAGCGCACGCAGGCGGUUUGUUAAGUCAGAUGUGAAAUCCCCGCGCUUAACGUGGGAACUGCAUUUGAAACUGGCAAGCUAGAGUCUUGUAGAGGGGGGUAGAAUUCCAGGUGUAGCGGUGAAAUGCGUAGAGAUCUGGAGGAAUACCGGUGGCGUAGGCGGCCCCCUGGACAAAGACUGACGCUCAGGUGCGAAAGCGUGGGGAGCAAACA
rnacentral:rRNA from 1 species